CAAGUCCCGUAGUGCAAGGCACGCCAAAUUGCAAAUUUGGAACCGUCACCUAAAGUGGCCCGGACU
rnacentral:tRNA from 1 species